GCUGGGCGUGGUGGCGCAUGCCUGUAAUCCCAGCUACUCGGGAGGCUGAGGCAGAAGAAUCACUUGAACCCAGGAGGUGGAGGUUGCAGUGAGCCGAGAUUGCACCACUACACUCCAGCCUGGGCAACAGAGUGAGCCUCUGUCUCCA
rfam:Homo sapiens chromosome 2, GRCh38 reference primary assembly.